GAGCCACGGCCCACCCCAUGUUUCUUCUUUAGAUCAGAUUCAUCCGCCUCUGUUCUCCCCACGAAUGCAGGGAUCAGCGCCGCCAAGAUUGGGGGAGGCCGCCUCGCCCGCCGAGAUCGGAUCGACCAAAUCAAGCAGCCCCGCGAACAGUCUACUCUCUUCUCCCCCAGAUUACAACGAUCGGCGACGGAAGAUUGGAGGAGGCCGCUCCACCGUCCGGGCUCGGAUCCAUCGCAUCAACCCACCCCGGGCGCACUCGGAUCUCUUCCCCCCAAUUGCAGCGACCGACCACGACUCUCGGUUCAGUUUAAAUACUCAUGCACAACCUGGAUUUUAGACGAUAUGCUGACUGACUAUAGAGAGUUUCGAACCAAGUCAAGGCAUGGGGAGGAGUUAGGCGCAAGACUCGAAGCAUAAGAUAGAGAAUUUGAAGAAAUGCAUGGGGAGGAUCAAGAAGAAGCAAAAGGAGAUAAAUAACCUAAUUGGUUUUCUCUUCAGGGCUCAAGCAACUUAAUAGUCAUAGCCCAAACCUGAUGAGUCCCAGUCCAAACCUAUUGGUGCAUGAAGGCCAUUCUUUUGUGAUGGAAAGAUAGUUGCAAUCGCCACGACAACGCUUUUGGUCAUUUAGUUGUCUAUUUAAAAGAUGAUUGGGCUGAGAUGAUAGAAUAUAUAAUAUUAUUUUUAUUCCUUUUAAAUUUGUAAUGUGA